rnacentral:rRNA from 1 species
AGUGAACGCUGGCGGUAGGCCUAACACAUGCAAGUCGAACGGCAGCACAGUAAGAGCUUGCUCUUACGGGUGGCGAGUGGCGGACGGGUGAGGAAUACAUCGGAAUCUACUUUUUCGUGGGGGAUAACGUAGGUAAACUUACGCUAAUACCGCAUACGACCUACGGGUGAAAGCAGGGGAUCUUCGGACCUUGCGCGAUUGAAUGAGCCGAUGUCGGAUUAGCUAGUUGGCGGGGUAAAGGCCCACCAAGGCGACGAUCCGUAGCUGGUCUGAGAGGAGGAUCAGCCACACUGGAACUGAGACACGGUCCAGACUCCUACGGGAGGCAGCAGUGGGGAAUAUUGGACAAUGGGCGCAAGCCUGAUCCAGCCAUACCGCGUGGGUGAAGAAGGCCUUCGGGUUGUAAAGCCCUUUUGUUGGGAAAGAAAAGCAGCAGGUUAAUACCCCGCUGUUCUGACGGUACCCAAAGAAUAAGCACCGGCUAACUUCGUA